CUGAACAUUCAGUAUUCUCCAUGCCGGUUUCUCCUCAUU
rnacentral:sRNA from 1 species